GCCCUUAGAGUUUGAUCCUGGCUCAGGACGAACGCUGGCGGCGUGCUUAACACAUGCAAGUCGAACGGUCUAUAAGGGCUUGCCCUUAUAGGUAGUGGCGAACGGGUGCGUAACACGUGAGUAACCUGCCCCAUAGUUUGGAAUAACACCGGGAAACCGAUGCUAAUACCAAAUAUGCUCGCACUAGCACAAGCUAGAGCAAGGAAAGAUUUAUCGCUUUGGGAGGGGCUCGCGGCCUAUCAGCUUGUUGGUGAGGUAACGGCUCACCAAGGCUUCGACGGGUAGCUGGUCUGAGAGGACGAUCAGCCACACUGGGACUGAGACACGGCCCAGACUCUUACGGGAGGCAGCAGUGGGGAAUAUUGCGCAAUGGGCGAAAGCCUGACGCAGCAACGCCGCGUGGAGGAUGAAGGCUCUAGGGUCGUAAACUCCUUUCAGCAGGAAAGAAAAUGACGGUACCUGCAGAAGAAGCUCCGGCCAACUACGUGCCAGCAGCCCGCGGUAAUACGUAAGGGAGCAAGCGUUGUCCGGAUUUUAUUGGGGCGUAAAGAGCUCGUAAGGCGGCUUAGUUAGUCGGAUGUUAAACCCCUAGGCUUAACCCUAAGGGCAGCCCAUUCGAUACUACUAUGGCUAGGAGUUCUGUAGGGGAUUGUGGGAAUUCCCGGGUGUAGCGGGUGAAAUGCGCAGAUAUCGGGAGGAACACCAAUGGCGAAGGCAGCAAUCUUGGGCCGAUACUGACGCUGAGGAGCGAAAGCGUGGGGGAGCAAACAGGAUUAGAUACCCUGGUAGUCCACGCCCCUAAACGUUGGGCACUAGGUGUGGGACCUACUUCGACGGGUUCCGUGCCGUAGCUAACGCAUUAAGUGCCCCGCCUGGGGAGUACGGCCGCAAGGCUAGAACUCAAAUGAAUUGACGGGGAAGGGC
rnacentral:rRNA from 1 species